UACGUAUGGAGCGAGCGUUGUCCGGAAUUAUUGGGCGUAAAGGGUGCGCAGGCGGCUUUACAAGUUGGAUGUGAAAUAUUGUGGCUCAACCACAAACGUGCAUCCAAAACUGCAAAGCUUGAGUUAAGGAGAGGUAAGUGGAAUUCCUGGUGUAGCGGUGGAAUGCGUAGAUAUCAGGAGGAAUACCGGUGGCGAAGGCGACUUACUGGACUUAAACUGACGCUCAGGCACGAAAGCGUGGGG
rnacentral:rRNA from 1 species